rnacentral:misc_RNA from 1 species
UCCUUGUUCCGUGGAGGAGAGAGAAGAGACUGCCGUUGGGGAAAUAAUCAUAUACAAGCAAGCGUUCCUCCUUAGCCUGGAAAUAAGCCCUGAGUGGGACCAAGUUCGGAUGUCUUAACCUACCAAGCAGGUCCAUGUGUCUCCGAAACUCCUCUACCCUGGGAUAUCUCGAAUCUUUUAACCGUUUAACGGUCACAAUGAACCCAGACUCCAUCACAGCUUUAUAUGUGCUUCCUAUAGUACCUCUUCCCAGUGUCUCAGCUGAGGCCUUUAACAAAUCUUCUAAACUAUAACUCAUCUGCUGAUCUCCUGCACCCAAGAAUAUCAAAGUCCCUAACCCUUCUCCUUCCCAUGAAAAUACCCCUUGGGUUCCACCGUUAUUACCGCCCAUGCCACUUCCGCCACCUCCAUUUCCGCCGCUGACACCGCUAUUGUACCCCCGCCAACAACCCCUUUGGUUUUGCUUCUUCCCUCUCCGACGACUGAGCCCUCUUUUCUGCGGCGAUUCUUGCACACCAAACACACUA